AUAACUUCGGGAAACCGGAGCUAAUACCGGAUAAUAUUUCGAACCGCAUGGUUCGAUAGUGAAAGGUGGUUUUGCUAUCACUUAUAGAUGGACCCGCGCCGUAUUAGCUAGUUGGUAAGGUAACGGCUUACCAAGGCGACGAUACGUAGCCGACCUGAGAGGGUGAUCGGCCACACUGGNAACUGAGACACGGUCCAGACUCCUACGGGAGGCAGCAGCC
rnacentral:rRNA from 1 species